AGAGUUUGAUCCUGGCUCAGAUUGAACGCUGGCGGCAUGCUUUACACAUGCAAGUCGAACGGCAGCGCGGGGAGCUUGCUCCCUGGCGGCGAGUGGCGCACGGGUGAGUAAUACAUCGGAACGUGUCUUCUAGUGGGGGAUAACUGCCCGAAAGGGCAGCUAAUACCGCAUGAGACCUGAGGGUGAAAGCGGGGGAUCGCAAGACCUCGCGCUGGAAGAGCGGCCGAUGUCCGAUUAGCUAGUUGGUGAGGUAACGGCUCACCAAGGCGACGAUCGGUAGCUGGUCUGAGAGGACGACCAGCCACACUGGGACUGAGACACGGCCCAGACUCCUACGGGAGGCAGCAGUGGGGAAUUUUGGACAAUGGGGGCAACCCUGAUCCAGCCAUGCCGCGUGCAGGAUGAAGGCCUUCGGGUUGUAAACUGCUUUUGUCAGGGACGAAAAGGACCGUGUUAAUACCAUGGUCUGCUGACGGUACCUGAAGAAUAAGCACCGGCUAACUACGUGCCAGCAGCCGCGGUAAUACGUAGGGUGCAAGCGUUAUCCGGAAUUAUUGGGCGUAAAGGGCUCGUAGGCGGUUCGUCGCGUCCGGUGUGAAAGUCCAUCGCUUAACGGUGGAUCCGCGCCGGGUACGGGCGGGCUUGAGUGCGGUAGGGGAGACUGGAAUUCCCGGUGUAACGGUGGAAUGUGUAGAUAUCGGGAAGAACACCAAUGGCGAAGGCAGGUCUCUGGGCCGUUACUGACGCUGAGGAGCGAAAGCGUGGGGAGCGAACAGGAUUAGAUACCCUGGUAGUCCACGCCGUAAACGGUGGAUGCUGGAUGUGGGGCCCGUUCCACGGGUUCCGUGUCGGAGCUAACGCGUUAAGCAUCCCGCCUGGGGAGUACGGCCGCAAGGCUAAAACUCAAAGAAAUUGACGGGGGCCCGCACAAGCGGCGGAGCAUGCGGAUUAAUUCGAUGCAACGCGAAGAACCUUACCUGGGCUUGACAUGUUCCCGACGGUCGUAGAGAUACGGCUUCCCUUCGGGGCGGGUUCACAGGUGGUGCAUGGUCGUCGUCAGCUCGUGUCGUGAGAUGUUGGGUUAAGUCCCGCAACGAGCGCAACCCUCGCCCCGUGUUGCCAGCGGAUUAUGCCGGGAACUCACGGGGGACCGCCGGGGUUAACUCGGAGGAAGGUGGGGAUGACGUCAGAUCAUCAUGCCCCUUACGUCCAGGGCUUCACGCAUGCUACAAUGGCCGGUACAACGGGAUGCGACGCGGCGACGCGGAGCGGAUCCCUGAAAACCGGUCUCAGUUCGGAUCGCAGUCUGCAACUCGACUGCGUGAAGGCGGAGUCGCUAGUAAUCGCGAAUCAGCAACGUCGCGGUGAAUGCGUUCCCGGGCCUUGUACACACCGCCCGUCAAGUCAUGAAAGUGGGCAGCACCCGAAGCCGGUGGCCUAACCCCUUGUGGGAUGGAGCCGUCUAAGGUGAGGCUCGUGAUUGGGACUAAGUCGUAACAAGGUAGCCGUACCGGAAGGUGCGGCUG
rnacentral:rRNA from 1 species